rnacentral:lncRNA from 1 species
GCUCCCUCAAGCCGUUUUCAAUCAGGUGGAGACUGCUCUGCUCAUCCCAGAGGCCUCAGUUAUCCUCUGAAAAAGCUCAUGCAGCUUAUGAAAGAAACAGUUGUGGAAACUUUAUAAUUCAUCUGUAAAGAACUCUAGACCUGGCAGCUUUGUUUGGGCAAGAUUCACAAACAUUCUUGAUUAGAAUGUUCAGCAGAGUGCGCGUGGAAAAUUCUGACUCCCAGGCUCCCCCUUCCUCACCAGGGCAGAAUCUGCAGGGGAAGGUUUGUAACAAGCACGCCAGAAGAGUCUCGUGAUGAGGAUAAUUUAGGAACUAUUUGGGUGUCAGAUGAUGACGAGCUAUCCUUGUUUUAAAGCCCCCUGUGCUGCCUGUUGUCUUCACGUCACUCAAACAUUUCGCAUGGCUUGAGAAGUGCUGCCAUGUCUGCACCCGGGAUGUGAACCGGCGAACCCUGGGCCACAGAAGUGGAAUGUGCAAACUCAACCGCUGCACCACCAGAAACAAGCAAGGAGGUACCUGGGCAUAAGCAGCUCAUGAGAUGCAUUUCUCAGGCAAUAUUGUAUGAUUUAAUCGACUCUGGAAGAUGGUCCGUUCAGAGCUAAAUGGCUAUCAGUCAAGACUGGUGCCACACAGCCAGAAGAUUUACAUGUACAACUAUUAUCUAAGUCUCAAGGACUUUUUUCCAUUCUGCAUAACCUACCCAGCUUUCAGGAUUUAUAUUUAUAUUCAAAAGGGGGGCAUGAGGAAGUGUAACAUCCAGCCAGUCUUCGAGCACCGCACUGUAAUGCAGAGUCAGGAAGAACAACUGCCAACUAUUCAUAAACAAGACACCACUGAGAGAAUCCUAGGACAUAAGGGUGAGGCUGAAGCUCUCCCCUGCACCUCAGAGACCAAGACAGACUGCAUUGGAAAGGCCCGACCCCGUGACUGAGUGGUUGAGUCUGUGCGCUCCGCUUUGAUGGCCUGGGGUUUCAGUGGUUUGGAUCCUGGGAGCGGACACGGCACCACUCAUCAGGCCACGCCAAGGCGGCAUCCCACAUGCCACAACUAGAAGGACCCACAACUGAAAUAUACAACUGUGUACUGGGAGGACUUGGGGAGAAAAAUCAGAAAAACAAACAAACAAAAGAUGAUUGGCAACAGUUGUUAGCUCAGGUGCCAAUCUUUGGGA